rnacentral:rRNA from 1 species
UCGUGGGGCAGCAGGCUACUACCUUUAGGUAGUAGUGCUGGCGACCGGCAAACGGGUGAGUAACACGUAGCUUACCUACCCCAAGGUUGGGGAUAACCUCCCGAAAGGGUGGCUAAUACCCAAUAAUGAGGAAACUCCAAAGCCCAAAAGGCGCCUUGGGAUGGGGCUGCGUCCCAUCAGCUAGUUGGUGAGGUAAUGGCUCACCAAGGCUACGACGGGUAACCGGUCUGAGAGGAUGACCGGUCACAGUGGGACUGAGACACGGCCCGCACCCCUACGGGGGGCAGCAGUGGGGAAUAUUGGGCAAUGGCCGAAAGGCUGACCCAGCAACGCCGCGUGGUGGACGAAGCCCUUCGGGGUGUAAACACCUUUUCUGGGGGAAGACAAUGACGGUACCCCAGGAAUAAGGGACGGCUAACUACGUGCCAGCAGCCGCGGUAAUACGUAGGUCCCAAACGUUGCGCGAAAUUACUGGGCGUAAAGGGUCCGUAGGCGGUCUGGCAAGUGGAAGGUGAAAUCCUACGGCUCCACCGUUAGAAUUGCCUUCCAAACUGCUGGGACUUUGAGGCAAGGAGAGGUCCGGCGGAAUUCCCGGGUGGUACCGUUAAAAUGCGUAAAAUUCCGGGAGGAAACACCAUGGCAAAAGGCGGCCAACUUGAAAUGUCCCUGACCCCUAAGGGAAAAAAGGUAGGGGAACCAACCCGGAUUUAAUCCCCUGG